GGUGACCUCGAUCAGUAGAUGCCA
rnacentral:rRNA from 1 species